rnacentral:rRNA from 1 species
AGUGAACGCUGGCGGUAGGCCUAACACAUGCAAGUCGAACGGCAGCACAGUAAGAGCUUGCUCUUACGGGUGGCGAGUGGCGGACGGGUGAGGAAUACAUCGGAAUCUACUUUUUCGUGGGGGAUAACGUAGGGAAACUUACGCUAAUACCGCAUACGACCUACGGGUGAAAGCAGGGGAUCUUCGGACCUUGCGCGAUUGAAUGAGCCGAUGUCGGAUUAGCUAGUUGGCGGGGUAAAGGCCCACCGAGGCGACGAUCCGUAGCUGGUCUGAGAGGAUGAUCAGCCACACUGGAACUGAGACACGGUCCAGACUCCUACGGGAGGCAGCAGUGGGGAAUAUUGGACAAUGGGCGCAAGCCUGAUCCAGCCAUACCGCGUGGGUGAAGAAGGCCUUCGGGUUGUAAAGCCCUUUUGUUGGGAAAGAAAAGCAGCAGGUUAAUACCCCGCUGUUAUGACGGUACCCAAAGAAUAAGCACCGGCUAACUUCGUG